rnacentral:lncRNA from 1 species
GAAAAAGCUGAACGAUGUAAUUCCAUCCCCAGGCUGAAACACAUUAGCGCGUUUGGCAAGUGCUCUAUCAGAGGGCCAUUAGACUGAGGCUCGUGCAUGAGGGGAUAGCAUGCUUUUACUUUCACUCUCUUUGUAAUAAAAAAAAACGAUUUCCCGGUCGGAAUAUUAUCGCUUUUUUACGAGAAAAAUGGCAUAAAAAUUGAUUUUAAACAGCGGUUGACAUGCUUCGAAGUACGGUAAUGGAAUAUUUAGAAUUUUUUUGUCACGAAUUGCGCCAUGCUCGUCACCCUUAUUUACCCUUUCGGAUAGUGUCUUGAACGCACGAACAAAACGCCGCUGCUUGGAUAUAACGAUGGAUUAUUUUGGACCAAACCAACAUUUGUUAUUGAAGUAGAAGUCCUGGGAGUGCAUUCUGAUGAAGAACAGCAAAGGACCUGAGCCCUAAGACCAUGUCUCAGGACUACCUGGCCUGAUGACUCCUUGCUGUCCUCAGUCCACCUGGUCGUGCUGCUGCUCCAGUUUCAACUGUUCUGCCUGCAGCUAUGGAAUCCUGACCUGUUCAUCGGACGUGCUACCUUGUCCCGAACCUGCUUUUUUUGACUCUCUCUCUACCGCACCUGCUGUCUCUAACUCUGAAUGAUCGGCUAUGAAAAGCCAGCUGACAUUUACUCCUGAGGUGCUGACAUGUUUUGCACCCUCUACAACCACUGUGAUUACUAUGAACGUUUGAACAUCUAGGCCAUCUACUGUUAUAAUCUCCACCCGGCACAGCCAGAAGAGGACUGGCCACCCCUCAGAGCCUGGUUCCUCUCUAGGUUUCUUCCUAGGUUCCUGCCUUUCUAGGGAGUUUUUCCUAGCCACUGUGCUUCUACAUCUGCAUUGCUCUCUGUUUGGGGUUUUAGGCUGGGUUUCUGUCUAGCACUUUGUGACUUCCAGCUGAUGUAAAAAGGGCUCGAUAAGUACAUUUGAUUGGAUUGAUUGAUUGAUGUCAGACACGCACUAUCCUAAUGCUCUUUUUGACUGAUGACUGUACAUGAUAGGCCUAUCUGGCUUAUAUGAUUAUGAUGGUCAUAAUGGUUCUUGACAGUGUCAUAAAGUGUAUUUUCUUAGUCCGAGCAAAGUGACACAGGAUGUUCAUAAUGCUUCUUGACAUUGUCAUAAAGUGCAUUUUCUUAGUCCAAAUAAAAUGACACAGGAUGGUCAUAACGCUUUCUGACAAUGUCAUAAAGUGUAUUUUCUAUAGGUUAUUUAAAAUAUGUUGAAGAAAAAAAACAUGACUGUAAAGAAUUCAUUACAACAACAACAACAAAGGACCUGUCUAGCUGGCUAUCUAAAGCCAACUUCAUAAAGUGGCUUUGUGGCUAGUAUUACAGAGAAACAUCAAAACAUUUUGGCAUUAUUUAUUCAUCAAGAAGAAAUCAAUAGGCAGCGUAGCUUGAUCAAAUUCCUUUACAAACAUCACGGGCAGCUGGAACCAAAUCAAAUGCUGCCUUUGUUCCCUGGUGCACCGUGAAAGGAAACACUUACCAGGGAGAAUGUCCAGCCAGUGUACCCCCUCCGCAAAAUACAGCAGACAGAUAUUUUUAUAAAUAAUUCUGAUAAAAUGUGGCCUUUAAAUGAAGUUUAGGUAUUCAUUUAACAUCUGAUAUUUCUUUUAAACAGGACAAAUCACAGGGGGCACGUGCCCUUGUGAUGCCUCUGAGCGUGGCUAUCCAUAUUAUCGGGGAAAUGAUCAGGGAUGGUGGAAAUCCACAUAGUAUGACAGAAUACCUGAGACUUACCUUUAGAUUUAGUUUGGAGGAUGAGGAACAUAUGAAGCUUCACACAACAGCUCUUAGCUUUUAAGUCUAUGGACGAUAUACAGUAACUACAGUACAAUGCAGUCUGACUGUGUAGGUGUGUACACUGGCAAACGCAAAUAUCCCAAGCUGUUGGAACAUGUGAUUAUUUUAUAAGCAUGCAUUUACAUGAAUACAUUUUAGUAGUUUAGUAGUCAUCCCACUUUGCUGCCUGAAGGUAAAUUACAUAAACUGCUCAAGCAUGACCAGACCACCUGUACAUUCAAUAUAAUAUACACUCAUACAUUAC